UACGUUGGGACCGAGCGUUGUCCGGAUUCAUUGGGCGUAAAGAGCUCGUAGGCGGCUGUUCAAGUCGAACGUGAAAACUCGGAGCUCAACUCCGAGCCUGCGUUCGAGACUGGAUGGCUAGAGUCUGGUAGGGGGAUCUGGAAUUCCUGGUGUAGCGGUGGAAUGCGCAGAUAUCAGGAGGAACACCGGUGGCGAAGGCGGGAUCCUGGAUUGGUAUUGACGCUGAUGAGCGAAAGCCAGGGGAGCAAACGGG
rnacentral:rRNA from 1 species